AGCAAAAUCUAUUNNCUUUYUUCCNCUGCGUAGGGCCCCCGCGUGGCGCUUGCCCCGGGGCCCUCGCGCGAGAGAGCAAUCUAAAGGAACCGUGCCAGGCACGGCCCCCAAGCAACACGGCGCGGCCUCCCUCCCCCCGCGUCUUCUCGGGCAGGAGGUCCGCCGCCGCCGCCCACCCCCCCACUCCCCCGUGCUCCCGGGGGCGGAGGGGCCACUAAAAGUGCUCAAGCGCCCAGCAAGACGACCCGUCCAAAGCUGUUACUAGGAAGGCGUCCAAGUGGAUGCCUUUGGAACAAUGCUGAA
rnacentral:misc_RNA from 1 species